GUAUUUGUUUAUAUGAGUUCAACUCCAAGCAUUCAAAACUCAUUGUUGAAUGGAAUGAGGUAUUUUGAGUGUUUGGAAUUGAACUCGUAUACACUGAUACACCAAUACCAGU
rnacentral:pre_miRNA from 1 species